rnacentral:rRNA from 1 species
GAUGAACGCUAGCUACAGGCUUAACACAUGCAAGUCGAGGGACCGGCGCACGGGUGAGUAACACGUAUCCACCCUGCCCUUUACUCGGGGAUAGCCUUUCGAAAGAAAGAUUAAUACCCGAUAUAAAGGAUGGGGAUGCGUUCCAUUAGGUUGUUGGUGAGGUAAUGGCUCACCAAGCCUUCGAUGGAUAGGGGUUCUGAGAGGAAGGGACCCCAAAUGGGAACGCAGACACGGACCAAACUCCGACGGGAGGGAGGAGGGAGGAAUAUUGGUUAAUGGGCGCUAGCCUGAACCAGCCAAGUAGCGUGAAGGAUGAAGGCUUAUGGGUCGUAAACUUCUGUUAUAUAAGAAGAUGUAUUAUAUGAAUAAUGAACGGCUAACUCCGUGCCAGCAGCCGCGGUAAUAC